GAUGAACGCUAGCUACAGGCUUAACACAUGCAAGUCGAGGGGAAACGACAUCGAAAGCUUGCUUUUGAUGGGCGUCGACCGGCGCACGGGUGAGUAACGCGUAUCCAACCUGCCCAUCACUUGGGGAUAACCUUGCGAAAGUAAGACUAAUACCCAAUGAUAUCUCUAGACGACAUCUGAAAGGGAUUAAAGAUUUAUCGGUGAUGGAUGGGGAUGCGUCUGAUUAGCUUGUUGGCGGGGUAACGGCCCACCAAGGCAACGAUCAGUAGGGGUUCUGAGAGGAAGGUCCCCCACAUUGGAACUGAGACACGGUCCAAACUCCUACGGGAGGCAGCAGUGAGGAAUAUUGGUCAAUGGGCGAGAGCCUGAACCAGCCAAGUAGCGUGCGGGACGACGGCCCUAUGGGUUGUAAACUGCUUUUAUAAGGGAAUAAAGUGAGUCUCGUGAGACUUUUUGCAUGUACCUUAUGAAUAAGGACCGGCUAAUUCCGUGCCAGCAGCCGC
rnacentral:rRNA from 1 species